UUUAUAUCUGCGGUCUAACCUCUUUUUCUGUUUUUCUGUUUUGUCUCCCAGUGCAUCCUAACGUCAGCCAAGGCUGCCAAGGAGGCUGUGCGACGUGUUCAGAUUACAAUGGAUGUUUGUCAUGUAAGCCCAGACUAUUUUUUGUUCUGGAAAGAAUUGGCAUGAAACAGAUAGGAGUGUGUCUCUCUUCAUGUCCAAGUGGAUAUUACGGAACUCGAUAUCCAGAUAUAAAUAAGUGUACAAAAUGCAAAGCUGACUGUGAUACCUGUUUCAACAAAAAUUUCUGCACAAAAUGUAAAAGUGGAUUUUACUUACACCUUGGAAAGUGCCUUGACAGUUGCCCAGAAGGGUUAGAAGCAAACAACCAUACUAUGGAAUGCGUCAGUAUUGGUGAGAAAGGCCUCUAAGAUUUAGAAUGGAUGAGAAACACUUCAGAUGACAAUGCCAGUCUCUCUG
rnacentral:lncRNA from 1 species